GAAAUGCGAUAAGUAGUGUGAAUUGCAGAAUUCAGUGAAUCAUCGAAUCUUUGAACGCACAUUGCGCCCCUUGGUAUUCCAUGGGGCAUGCCUGUUCGAGCGUCAUCUACACCCUCAAGCUCUGCUUGGUGUUGGGCGUCUGUCCCGCCCCCGCGCGUGGACUCGCCCCAAACCCAUUGGCAGCGUUCCUUGCCCCCUCUCGCGCAGCACAUUGCGCUUCUCGAGGGCGGCUCCGGGACGCGAUCCAGCAAGAUGACCACCGUCUUUGACCUCGGAUCAGGUAGGGAUACCCGCUGAACUUAAGC
rnacentral:misc_RNA from 1 species